AACGAACGCUAGCGGCAGGCUUAACACAUGCAAGUCGAACGCCCCGCAAGGGGAGUGGCAGACGGGUGAGUAACGCGUGGGAAUCUACCCAGAUCUACGGAACAACAGUUGGAAACGACUGCUAAUACCGUAUACGCCCUACGGGGGAAAGAUUUAUCGGAUUUGGAUGAGCCCGCGUAAGAUUAGCUAGUUGGUGAGGUAAUGGCUCACCAAGGCGACGAUCUUUAGCUGGUCUGAGAGGAUGAUCAGCCACACUGGGACUAAGACACGGCCCAGACUCCUACGGGAGGCAGCAGUGGGGAAUAUUGGACAAUGGGCGCAAGCCUGAUCCAGCCAUGCCGCGUGAGUGAUGAAGGCCUUAGGGUUGUAAAGCUCUUUCACCGAUGAAGAUAAUGACGGUAGUCGGAGAAGAAGCCCCGGCUAACUUCGUGCCAGCAGCCGCAGUAA
rnacentral:rRNA from 1 species